rnacentral:lncRNA from 1 species
AUGUUACGAACCCAUCAUUGUGGCAUAAAAUGAUGUGGCACCAUCCGUGACGGUGAGUUGAGUUCACGGCGUCUCUUCUGUUUCAGUCUACGGACUUCUGUUAGUCUACGGACUUCUGUUCAGAGGCGUAUGGAUCGAUCCUAGGAAAAAGUAAAUAAAGUCUGAUAUCUGGUGAAUGGUUGGUGUGAUUUACCCACACUCCAUUCAUGUCUGGAUACAUGGGCUAGCUACCCUGUAUCAACCUCUGUAAUAAAACGAAUCUUCUGGACUUCGGGUAAAUCUGUAUAUCACAUUCUGAUAAUAUUUGUUAUACUUAUUUAGUAUAUUUUGAAUUAUGAAAACUUAGCGCUUUUGCUAAAACAAAUGAUUUUUGAAGAACUUAGCCUUCUUCUCAGAUAAAAGAAGCCUUUUGUUUUCCUCUAUCCGCACACUGGGCAAAACUUUCAAAUUUUGCUCAGAUGUACGUUUUUGUGUUUUCCUUCUUUACGUCAGGUUAUCAAGACAAUCUGGGACGGGAUAUAGAAGAGUGCUCGAGUAUAUGAAAAAGACCGUAGAAAUAAUGUACUGGAUUAGAUAUCCUAUUUCCAUUAAGUUGUAAAGCCUUGUAAUACAUUUAAGUAUUAAUGGAAUUAUGUUUUU